rnacentral:rRNA from 1 species
CAGUCGCCGCGGUAAUACGGAGGGGGCUAGCGUUGUUCGGAAUUACUGGGCGUAAAGCGCACGUAGGCGGCUUGGUAAGUUAGAGGUGAAAGCCCAGAGCUCAACUCUGGAACUGCCUUUGAUACUGGGUAUCUUGAGUAUGGAAGAGGUGAGUGGAAUUCCGAGUGUAGAGGUGAAAUUCGUAGAUAUUCGGAGGAACACCAGUGGCGAAGGCGGCUCACUGGUCCAUUACUGACGCUGAGGUGCGAAAGCGUGGGGAGCAAACAGGAUUAGAUACCCGAGUAGUCCCUGUCUCUUAUAC